rnacentral:rRNA from 1 species
UUUAUGGAGAGUUUGAUCCUGGCUCAGGAUGAACGCUGGCGGCGUGCCUAAUACAUGCAAGUCGAGCGAACAGACGAGGAGCUUGCUCCUCUGACGUUAGCGGCGGACGGGUGAGUAACACGUGGAUAACCUACCUAUAAGACUGGGAUAACUUCGGGAAACCGGAGCUAAUACCGGAUAACAUGUUGAACCGCAUGGUUCAACAGUGAAAGACGG